rnacentral:tRNA from 1 species
CAAGAAAUAGUUUAAUAAAAAUACUAGUUUUGGGGACUAGUGAUGGGGUACUAAUACUUCUUUUUUGA